AUUGAACGCUGGCGGCAUGCCUUACACAUGCAAGUCGAACGGCAGCAUAGGAGCUUGCUCCUGAUGGCGAGUGGCGAACGGGUGAGUAAUAUAUCGGAACGUGCCCUAGGGUGGGGGAUAACUAGUCGAAAGACUAGCUAAUACCGCAUACGAUCUACGGAUGAAAGUGGGGGAUCGCAAGACCUCAUGCUCCUGGAGCGGCCGAUAUCUGAUUAGCUAGUUGGUGGGGUAAAAGCCUACCAAGGCGACGAUCAGUAGCUGGUCUGAGAGGACGACCAGCCACACUGGGACUGAGACACGGCCCAGACUCCUACGGGAGGCAGCAGUGGGGAAUUUUGGACAAUGGGGGCAACCCUGAUCCAGCAAUGCCGCGUGAGUGAAGAAGGCCUUCGGGUUGUAAAGCUCUUUUGUCAGGGAAGAAACGGUGGUAGCUAAUAUCUACUACUAAUGACGGUACCUGAAGAAUAAGCACCGGCUAACUACGUGCCAGCAGCCGCCGUAACAC
rnacentral:rRNA from 1 species